GGAAUUUUUGGCACGGGGCUAAGGUCAUUCUGAACUUCGUUCUGGGCAUAUGACUUCCCAGAUUUAAAACCCUUGCCUAUUCUUGCGGGCCUAAGCACAUUCUUCCCUUUAUUCUUCCUUUUUUUUUUCUUUUUCUUUUUUUCUCCCUUUUUUUUCUUUCUGGACUUUUUCUUUACUUUGGGAUUAGAUGUCCCAUUUUGCAAUUUUUGCACUAGUCCUGCCCAUAGGAUCCACUACACUAUCUUCCCUUCUUUUGCCCUUAAAUUCAGUUUGACCGGGACGGCUCAAUUCUAGGCAAAUUUAUAAGUGAAUUCAAAUGAAUUAUUAAGCUCAAAAGGGUUCACAAGUGAUAGAUGUAGGGUUGGUCAGUUUGGCU
rnacentral:lncRNA from 1 species